CUGUUGGAUUUCAUGAUGUGGAAAGCACUUGCAGGCGGAAGAGAUGAAGUAAAGGGAAUGCCAGCAACUACACUCUCAGCUUUGCAAGUCAUUAACAAUCUGGAAAGAGACUGAGACAUGCUGUCAAGCUAAGCAGAGAAUCUCAAAAAGGCACAGAGAUGGACCAAAAUGGAAAGGCUUGGGGUGCAUCUCUGUACUCCUUUCUGUGAAGCAGCGACUGCUCCCAGCACAAGGAGCUGAGUUACAGAUUCACAUUAAAGCACUUGCAUGUGAUUCAGAAAGGAGGGGACAUAGACAUGAGACAGAGUAUUAGCCUGAGACAUCUGGGUUUCCUGCUCUACAAGUUUCCUGUAUGACUGUACAGAAGAGACUGUGCAUGUCCACUCUGCAAAGUUGCUGGAAGGAAACCAUCCAUAUCCCUGUGGCAGCAUGGAGCUCGACGGGUUCAUCCUUGCCAUUUCGGAUUAUGUCUUUGUGAGCCCCUGCAGUCAGCAGUGCACACACACUCUCUAGCUGGUGCUGGGCUUCCUGCUCCCAAGCCUGCUGGGACGGGUUGUAUUCAGGCAUGUGGAGGGCUCAAGUAUUAGCCAUGGGAGAGCUAGAAAAUCUGUAUGAGACUGGUAUUGGGAAUGUGACUGGCUAUACAUGCCUAUAUCUUAAAAUCUGGAACAAAA
rnacentral:lncRNA from 1 species